AACAAGUGAAUAACCGACUGGCGGCGAGCCAUCGCUGCCGUGCACCCGUCCGUCUCUUUCAGGAAUACUCGUCGGAGACCCGUUAUUCCGGCGGACGGGAGAACAAUUGGGCGCAGCUCUGUGCCAAGGAACAAAUGCAGCAUGAGCGCCGACGACAACAUCCCAAAUAUUUCACGAUUUUUGCGGAAUUGUCGCCCGCUCCUUAAAACUGUAGGACUCUCGGCAAUGGAUAUCUUGGCUCUCGCAUCGAUGAAGAGCGCAGCGAAAUGCGAUACGUGGUGCGAAUUGCAGAAUCCCGUGAACCAUCGAGUUUUUGAACGCAAGUUGCGCCCGAGGCCAACUGGCCGAGGGCACGUCCGCCUGGGCGUCAAGCAUUACAUCGCUCCGCUAAGCCAACCCAACGCAAUGCGUCGGCGUUGUCCCGGAUGCGGAGAGUGGCCCGUCAUGCGAUGCUGCGUGGCGGGCUGAAGAGCGGGAUGAUUUUCUCUCGGCGACGAUCGAUAAAUGGGUGGGAUGGAAGCCCCAGUUGAUCCUCAUCAUCGCACAGCGUCGCCUCGAGGAAGCCGUAGAAAUCUCGGGCUAACCCGACUCUAGCAAGCGUUGCUUGAAAUGCGACCCCAGGAUGGGCGGGGUGACCCGCUGAGUUUAAGCAUAUCAAUAA
rnacentral:rRNA from 1 species